rnacentral:rRNA from 1 species
CCCCGGUUUGCCGGGGGGGGUGGUAGGACUCAGCAUCUAAUUAUUCCACCUAACCGAAGUGUUUGGAAAAUCACACUAUAAAGCGUAAAAGUCGCGUAGGUGAAGGGAGGUAUAAUCAGUAGAGUAUCCUGAGUAGGUUCGGACACGUGAAAUCCGGACUGAAUCUAGGUGGACCACCAUCUAAGGCUAAACAGACAAUGCGAUCGAUAGUGCACUAGUACCGUGAGGGAAAGGUUAAAAGUACCCCGGAAGGGGGAUGAAAUAGUUUCUGAAACCAAAUGCUUACAAGCAGUGGGAGCCUCCUUGAGGGGUGACCGCGUGCCUUUUGUAUAAUGAGCCACCGAGUCCGUUGGUACAGGCAAGGCUAAGGGAUUACACCCGAAACCGUAGCGAAAGCGAGUCCGAAUAGGGCGACUAAGUCUGUAUUACUGAACCCGAAACUGAGUGAGCUAACCAUGGGCAGGUUGAAGCGUAAGUAACAUUACGUGGAGGACCGAACCAAUUCAUGUUGCAAGAUGUUUGGAUGACCUGUGGUUAGAGGUGAAAUGCUAAUCGAACUCAGAGAUAGCUGGUUCUUCUCGAAAUGCCUUUAGGGGCAGCGUCGGAUUAUUACUCGUGGGGGGUAGAGCUCUGUUUAGGCUAGGGUGGGCAACCAUACCAACCCUUGACAAACUUCGAAUACCCAUCGAGCUUAUCCCGGCAGUGAGACUGCGACAGCUAAGUGCCGUAGUCGCAAGGGAAACAGCCCAGACCGCCGUCUAAGGUCCCAAAAUAGUAGUUUAGUGGCAAAGGAUGUGAGAUUUCACAUACAACCAGGAGGUUUGCUUAGAAGCAGCAAUCCUUUAAAGAAAGCGUAACAGCUCACUGGUCGAGAGAUCCUGCGCCGAAAAUGUAACGGGGCUCAAACUACUUACCGAAGAUGCGGGUGCGUAAACUUUUUGUUUAUGCGCGAUAGAGAAGCGUUCCGUUCUGCGUCGAAGCCUGAUCGUGAGAUUUGGUGGAGCGUUCGGAAGUGAGAAUGGUGGCAUAAGUAACUUUAAUGGAAGUGAGAAACUUCCACACCGAAAACCCAAGGUUUCCCCUGCCACGAUAUUCGACAGGGGGUCAGCCGGUCCUAAGGCGAGGCCGAAAGGCGUAGUCGAUGGACAGCAGGUUAAUAUUCCUGCGCUACAACAAUACCGCCCGAGUGAAACCGGAGCAAGAUUUAUUUUCAGUUCAAUUCCUUCGGGAUGCGAUCAGAAUUUACUUCAAGUGAAGGUGGAGCUAGCCGGGGGGCGACGCGGAGAGCUAUUCAGAGCCAGUUAAUGAAUUCUGGUCCAAGCGAAAUAGGAGGCAGGUAGGCAAAUCCGUCUGUCAAUCCAAAAGCGCGAGUGCAAGUUUCGAUUCGUCGGAAUGAGUCUGUUCAUGCGAACCGCCGAGAAAAACCUCAACGGCGAGGGAUUGUUGUAUCCGUACCGUAAACCGACUAAGGUGGGUGGGAUGAGUAUUCUAAGGUGUUCGGGAUAACUAAGCUUAAGGAACUCGGCAAAACAGCGGCCGUAACUUCGGGAUAAGGCCUUCCGAUUGUCUGCUUGCAGAUGGUCGGACGCAGUUAAUGACUCCAAUCGACUGUUUAUCAAAAACACAGGUCUCCGCAAAGCCGUAAGGCAAUGUAUGGGGGCUGACGCCUGGCCAGUGCCAGAACAUUACGGGGAUGGGUUAACGCUCUGAACCUAAGUGCUGGUGAACGCCGGCCGUAACUAUAACGGUCCUAAGGUAGCGAAAUUCCUUGUCAGGUAAUUUCUGACGAGCACGAAUGGCGUAACGACUUGGAGACUGUCUCAAGCUUAGACCCGGUGAAAUUGCAGUGUCGGUAAAAAUGCCGACUAACUACGGAAAGACGAAAAGACCCCAUGGAGCUUUACUACAGUUUGACGUUGGUAUUUGAAUAACAAUGUGUAGGAUAGGUGGGAGACUUUGAUGCGACGGCGCUAGCUGUCGCGGAGUCACCCUUGAAAUACCACCCUUUGUUAUUUAGGUAUCUAACCACGUGCCGUUAUCCGGCCGUGAGACAGCGUUUGAUGGGUAGUUUGACUGGGGCGGUGGCCUCCUAAAAAGUAACGGAGGCGCGCAAUGGUUCACUUAGUCCGGAUGGAAAUCGGACUGAAUGUGUAUUCGCAUAAGUGAGCUUGACUGUGAGGCUGACAGGCCAAGCAGAUAGGAAACUAGGUGAAAGUGAUCUGGUGUCUGCACGUGGGUGCGGCAUCACUCAACGGAUAAAAGUUACCCUGGGGAUAACAGGCUGAUCGCUCCCAAGCGCCCAUAGCGACGGAGCGGUUUGGCACCUCGAUGUCGGCUCAUCACAUCCUGGGGCUGGAGAAGGUCCCAAGGGUUUGGCUGUUCGCCAAUUAAAGUGGUACGUGAGCUGGGUUCAGAACGUCGUGAGACAGUUUGGCCUCUACCUUCCGUAGUCGAUCGAAUAUUGAAGAGAGCUGCUCCUAGUACGAGAGGACCGGAGUGGACGAACCCCUGGUGGAUCUGUUGUCACGUCAGUGGCAUUGCAGAGUAGCUACGUUCGGACGGGAUAACCGCUGAAAGCAUCUAAGCGGGAAGCCUCCUCUGAGAUUAAUGUUCGCAACAAGAUUGCCCGGAGAACACGGGCUUGAUAGGCUGCCGGUGUAAGCACAGUAAUGUGUUCAGCCAAGCAGUACUAAUAAUCAAUUGAACUUUAUUUG